rnacentral:lncRNA from 1 species
AUUUUUCCACUAGGUUUUAAAGGAGUUUUAAUGGCAUAUGGACAUACAAGUUGGUUUCUCCUCAAUAUUUUCCCCAUAGGAUUUUUGGAGGAUUUUUUCCCAUGUGAUAAUCAUAGAUGAUUGAACAAGGAUUACAUGAAGCUUACAAGAAACAAUUGAUCAAGGGGGAGUGUUGUGAAACACAUAAUUAGUAUAGACUCCCUCUAUCAAUACAACCAUUCCAUUCAAUCCAUUCCACUUUUCAUUCCUUAAUAGGUUUUACAUCGGGUUCCAUUCUGAUCCAAUGGAGAAGUCAAUGUGUAUCGUAAGUUUGUGUUGACACCAGAUUUUGACACGUGUAAAAUCAGCGUUAGGAGAAGAAGAGGUUAGAAGAUGCGACGAGAUACAAGGGCGAUGAUUGGAAAUCUCCGAUUGCUGCUACAGUCAAGGAUCGGCCAGUAGAUGCUACAGUCGAGGAUCGGCCGAUUAAUCCUUGGAGUUCUACCUCGCCCGACCCCUGAGGCUUGGGAUCGGACGCGCCCGACCCUACAAGGGAGGAUCUCCGCCUUGCCCGACCCCUGAGGCUUGGGAUCAGACGCAGGGAGGAUCUCCGCCUUGUCCGACCCCUGAGGAUUGGGAUCGGACGCGCCCGACCCUCCAAGGGAGGAUCUCCGCCUCGCCCGACCCCUGAGGUUUGGGAUCGGACGCGCCCGACCCCUCCAAAGGAGGAUCUCCGCCUCGUCCUACCUUAGUGCCCAGGGUCGGGAUGAGUCUGAGCCCUUGACGUGUGGGUCCUGAUCGGUUACCCCUUGCUAAAGAGGUGAUCGGCCGAUUAGGAGGUUGGAAUGGUUGGGCCGAUGUGGGCUUAAAAAGGAUUAUGAAGAUGAAGAGGGGGUCAGCCCAUGAAGCGCUUGAAAAUAGUACGAAUCAUACUUGUAAAUAUUCAUUUUCUGUUUAGAUUUGGGGAUAGAGUUCUAGUCGGAUAAGAAGUUUUUCUGUUUAAAUUUAGAGAUAGAGUUCUAGUCAGAUAAGAAGUCGUUUGUACGGGGCUAUAAAUAAGCCACCCUUAUGGAUCUGUAAACACAAUCAACUCAAUACAACAAACUACUUUUUCCUCGUACUUACUUUCAAGCAGGCGACUUCGCCAAUACCUUUUCUCCUUUUUCACGAGUUCGUACGGGUUGGCGGGGCUGCAUCAACUUGACCUCCGGCCGAUCUUGUAAGUUCCGUUUAUCGAGUAAUUUCUAAGCUUUAACUUCAGGCGCAUCGCUGUCGUUUCAUUUAGAUUUAUUCACCAGUUAUCGAUAUUCACUAGAAUUCUAGGUUUUACCUGUUGUUCUA